rnacentral:rRNA from 3 species
UUACGCUGUUAUCCCUAAGGUAAUUAUGUCUUUUAAUCAUUAUUAAUGGAUCAAAAUAUUACUAAUAAGUAUUAAUUAAUUAAGAAGAGUUACUUUUAUCUUCUAAUCACCCCAACUAAAUAAAUAUAUUCACUAUAAAUUUACACACUAUUUAUCAGUAUAAAUAUAAUUAUAUAAACUCUAUAGGGUCUUCUCGUCCCAUAAUCUCAUCUAAGCUUUUUUACUCAGAAAUUAAAUUUUAAUAAAUAAAGUAAAGACAGAUUUUGUCUCGUCAAACCAUUCAUUCCAGUCCUCAAUAAAAAGACUAAUGAUUAUGCUACCUUUGCACGGUCAAAAUACCGCGGCCAUUCAAAAUUCAUUGGGCAGGUCAUACUUCAUAUCGAAUACAAGAAGAGAUGUUUUUGUUAAACAGGCG